rnacentral:rRNA from 1 species
GAUGAACGCUGGCGGCGUGCCUAAUACAUGCAAGUCGAACGAAACUUCUUUAUCACCGAGUGCUUGCACUCACCGAUAAAGAGUUGAGUGGCGAACGGGUGAGUAACACGUGGGCAACCUGCCCAAAAGGGGGGGAUAACACUUGGAAACAGGUGCUAAUACCGCAUAACCAUAGUUACCGCAUGGUAACUAUGUAAAAGGUGGCUAUACUACCGCUUUUGGAUGGGCCCGCGGCGCAUUAGCUAGUUGGUAGGGUAAAGGCUUACCAAGGCAAUGAUGCGUAGCCGAAUUGAGAGGUUGAUCGGCCACAUUGGGACUGAGACACGGCCCAAACUCCUACGGGAGGCAGCAGUAGGGAAUCUUCCACAAUGGGCGAAAGCCUGAUGGAGCAACGCCGCGUGGGUGAAGAAGGUCUUCGGAUCGUAAAACCCUGUUGUUAGAGAAGAAAGUGCGUGAGAGUAACUGUUCACGUUUCGACGGUAUCUAACCAGAAAGCCACGGCUAACUACGUG